GACGAACGCUGGCGGCGUGCUUAACACAUGCAAGUCGAACGAAGUGGCGAACGGGUGAGUAACGCGUAAUCAACCUGCCCUUCAGAGGGGGACAAUAGUUGGAAACGACUGCUAAUACCGCAUACUGAAGGAGGGGAUUGCGUCUGAUUGGCUAGUUGGAGGGGUAACGGCCAACCAAGGCGAUGCUAAGUAGCCGGUCGGAGAGGAUGACCAGCCACACUGGGACUGAGACACGGCCCAGACUCCUACGAGAGGCAGCAGUGGGGGAUCUUCGGCAAUGGACGAAAGUCUGACCGAGCAACGCCGCGUGAGUGAAGAAGGUUUUCGGAUCGUAAAACUCUGUUGUUAGAGAAGCGGUAUCUAACCAGAAAGCCACGGCUAACUACGUGCCAGCAGCCGCGGUAAUUC
rnacentral:rRNA from 1 species